rnacentral:rRNA from 1 species
AUUGAACGCUGGCGGCAGGCCUAACACAUGCAAGUCGAGCGGAUGAAGGGAGCUUGCUCCUGGAUUCAGCGGCGGGCGGGUGAGUAAUGCCUAGGAAUCUGCCUGGUAGUGGGGGAUAACGUCCGGAAACGGGCGCUAAUACCGCAUACGUCCUGAGGGAGAAAGUGGGGGAUCUUCGGACCUCACGCUAUCAGAUGAGCCUAGGUCGGAUUAGCUAGUUGGUGGGGUAAAGGCCUACCAAGGCGACGAUCCGUAACUGGUCUGAGAGGAUGAUCAGUCACACUGGAACUGAGACACGGUCCCGACUCCUACGGGAGGCAGCAGUGGGGAAUAUUAGACGAUGGGCGAAAGCCUGAUCCAGCCAUGCCGCGUGUGUGAAGAAGGUCUUCGGAUUGUAAAGCACUUUAAGUUGGGAGGAAGGGCAGUAAGUUAAUACCUUGCUGUUUUGACGUUACCAACAGAAUAAGCACCGGCUAACUUCGUG